rnacentral:ncRNA from 1 species
CACGGCCCGUCGCUACUACCGAUUGGAUGGGUUAGUGAGGCCCUCAGAUCCGCCCCGCCGGGUGGGCCCACGGCCCUGGCGGAGCGCUGAGAAGACGGUGGAACUUGACUAUCUACAGGAAGUAAAGGUCGUAACAAAGUUUCCGUAGGUGAACCUGUGGAAG